rnacentral:lncRNA from 1 species
GUACUAGCAGAGAACAGGGAAAUGUCCACCAUGUCUCAUGUCAUAACAACCAUUAUAAUCCUCGUACUUUCCUAUACAGAGUACAUCCUGGAAGGGCACCAUUCAAGCAUAUAGAGGUGUGUCCUGAACAGAGAAUUCCUCAUGGGUUUGGCCAACUUCAUGUGACAGAGGGAGUGAGAAUAAAUGUGAGAGUUCUCUGAUGUCAUAUGCCUUCAAUUAACACUAAAAGGAUUAUCAAUGAAAACAACACAGGUGAUUACUGAAAUCACAUGACAAUCUGCAAUUUUCAGAAGCAUCUCUAGAUGAUGUGCAGUAAGUAAGCAUUAGUUCUUACUAUAGUUGGAAUUAAAGCAUGACCAAAAGUUGUAAAUUACUGAUACAAUAUUUCCCAGCA